rnacentral:lncRNA from 1 species
ACCUCCAAGGCCACCAAGCACAGCAGUGCUCAGUGGUGAGGGGUUCCUUCAGGUAAGCCAGGCUGUUCUGGUGAAUUGACACACCCACCUUCCAAGAAGCCCACCAGAUGUGGGCUUUGACGAGGCUGUUUCCUCCAGACGAGUUUGCAGUAGAGAGGAAUCCCAUUUGUGUUACUGCGACUGAGAAGGCAGGAUCCAGGCACCACCUUGAGAGGGAACUGAGCCACACUUGGAGUCUGAGAAUGGAGAACAGCCAUCCAACAGACAACCUAGGAGAUGGUUAUGGAGAGUGGGAGGGCUACGUGCAAGAGACAAGUUAGGGCAGUACAGUGCACAGGGAAAAACCCUGCCCUGGAUGCCAGGACCAGAUUACAUCAAGAAUAAACGUGCCUGUAGCCCUACUCCUGAGGUCAUCGGGUGGACCGGCUGGUGAUGUUAUCUAGGUAGCGGUACGGCCACAGAUCCUGAAGACUGCAGCACCAGCAGGCAAGCUCCCAUAGCUACAUUCUUCCAGCAAGACAAAAGCAGAGACAAUGUGAUGUCUCGGUUGCUCCCACACUCCCAGUGCACUUGGGAGACCACCACAGCAGCCUAUCAGCCACUUCUGGGGAUCCAGUCCAAGAAUGAAAGCCCAUAGGCUGCAGAGCUAAGUGCGGCCAGUAGAGGACGCUACUACAUAAAGGUGGGAAGCUAUUCAAGUGGAGCCAGGUCCUGUGGGAAUCUGACACUUGCCAAACAGGGCUUAACCUUAGAAAAGAGCCCUGGUUCAACAGCCUUCACCAUCACAUCAGCCCCUGAGACUCCCCUUGCCCUUCUUUCUUUGACCUUCUGGCCUACCCUUGUAUUUAACUUUUGUUCAACUCAUAGCGAUUCUUUUAUCCUGGUGUUACUCAUCUCAUCAUGAAAUACUUCAUUUUGGUUAUGCAUUUUUUUCCACUAUCUGGCGGUAUUUUUUUCUUUUGUUCCUCUCAACUAGACUUUCAGCAGUAUUUAACUUUGUCUUACUGGGGAUAGUCUUUACUUUUUUGUUUUAAAAAUCUCAUGUUUCUAUUUUGUUCUUUACUUGAGGGGGAAGGUUGGGACGGGGACUUUCUACAUUGCCCUCUGUAGGCCAGGCUGGCCUUGAACUAGAGAUCUGCCUCCGGAACUUGUGAACUAAAAGGCAGUGCUGAACUCCCCUUCUUAACAUUUAUCUAAUUUUGAGUUUUAAUUUAAUUAUUUAAAAAUCUGG